UCUAGUUAAUGAUUAGAUUUUGUGGACCAUCACUCACUGGGUAUUGAGCUACCUCAGCUGGCCCUGCCUCUGCCACGGGGGAGACCUCAGGGUCCAAGAAUUGUCCCCUAGGAGCAGGAAAGCCAAGUCCAGAAGGAGAGGGACAGGGGCUGUGGAAGAUAUGACAGCAGUGUCCUUGCCUGAGGAGCAUACUUAGUGCAUCUUUCUCACUCCCAUCCCCACAGACAGAAUUACAGUAUCUCAUCUCAGAUGGGCCUCGAAAGACAUUCUUUACAGGUCAAUAGCCAGAGUCAGAUCUCAGCAUAAAAUGAGGAAACACAGUCCAUGCUUUGGGAGGAGAGUGCCUUACACGCCAAAGGUUGUAGGACCUGGCUCCCGUCUGCUGGCAGAAACAAUGCGCGCUCAUGUGAAGUGGCUCUUGAGAGACUGGACUGAGGAGGAGGGACUGUAGGCUGCAUAAGAAAGACUUGGUUCCCAUGCAUCUGUGUCUCAGGAUUCAGUAUUCCGGCAUGGAUGUCCAUCCUAAUAGUUUGCUUGAACGUUGAAUACAACAAUGGUCUACAGUAAAGCAUGGGA